CUGGAACAGAGACUGGUUUCCCACCAGCUGCUGUUGCUCCAGACAGUGGCUGAGACUUGCUAUUGGCAGCAGCAAGACAGACAGAGGAAGCUGGGACAAGCUGGGAAGGAGAACACUGGGGAGGGGGCCACCAGCAGCAACAGAAAGCAACUGGAAAUGGCCCUAAUGACAGAGAAAGCAUAUCUGAGGGCUGAGCAUGCUCAUCUUCCUCCCCAUUCCCUGCCCCUUGCAGCCUCCCCCGACACAGACAGCAGCGUGGCCAGUGGAAGGACAUCAGAGACUUGCAUUUCAUGGGAAACAGCAUCAGUGAAAGCCACUCGACACUAAAUAAAUAAAAAAUUUCUCUUCUGAGAACAGAUGUUGGAGUUGAGCUGACUGCCUUGCCACCUGGGCAGCCCUCACCCUUUCACUGGCAUUUUUGCUUCGUGGACAUUGCCUGCACCAUUAAGGAGGUAAGCACUUGAACAGUGAGCACACUGUGCAGCAGAUUCACGCUCCGCAGGCAUGCUCCUUAACUGAGAUGUGUCUGCUCACUAUGCUGGCUCUGUGAUUUAUUGUUUGCCAGACUGAAAACCCUAAUCAACAGCCUUGUGUUCUCAGUGCGAUGUUAUGUGCUGGGGGAGCGGUAGGGUUCAGCGGAGUUCUUCUUUCCCAAUCUUCAUAGGCAAGCAGCCUCUUUCUUUCCCCCAUGCAAAGCAAGCAUUCAGUUAUUGUGGGAAAAAUCUAACUGCAGGGACAAACUGUAAACUUUUCCAGCAGAAAGCACAAGCAAGCCUGAAUCUUUGUUAUAAGCAUUUCAUUCCAGGUUUGUGCAUGGAAGACCUGGAUUCAUGUGGUGUGUGAAGCUGAGCACAGGGGCAUAGAGACUGAGGGAUUAAAUCAAAGGGAGGGUGGGGCAAAGAAAACCAUGGGAAUGAAGAACAAGUGGCCAAGAAAGACUGGAGGCGUGGAGAGGAGACGGGAGAGGAUACAGACAGCUGAAGAAUGGGAAUUGGCUAAUGGGCGAUCAUAUGAAUGGUGUGAAUCAUCCUGUGCUGAUCUCUUCUUCCACUCGUUUGAUUACCGCAGACAUCACUUGGCGUUUUUCCAGGAUGUCUUUCUGAGAAUAGAAGUCUCUCUUAUGUUUCUGGUGUGCAGGAGGUGAGCUAGGAAAAGCUGAAGACUAGAAAACAGUAGCUUUUGGAAGACAUGUGGCACCUCACUGAUCUGAAAAUAGAGCUGAACUGGAAACUUCAUUAAAAAGUUUAAGCCGUUGCCACCUGGCAGGUUUCCUAUUUUUUGAGGGGGUGGUUGCUGUCCAGUAAUAUGUUUUGCUAGACUGUGGGAAAUGAUUCAUUUCUAUCUAGUGUGGCAUCCCCUGAAGAAUUCUUUUCACUGAGUUGCAUUUUUGCCUUCUCUUAAUUGAUUUGAGAUGUAUAAAUAUCAGCAUAUUAUGUUUGUGACUGGAGUCAGUUCCAGCCUUUUUGCUAACCUAAACGUACCAUCCACCAAACAUCUGAGCAUUUUCAUAAGGAACGGGAAGAUAAAUUUUAAAGGUUUGUCUUUCCUCAUGGGCUGCAGGAUUUGGCCAGUCCAGUUGCACAUAGGACGUAUUUGUGUUUAAGACUUUUCUGAAUCUGGACAGGGAUCUCUUGUACUUCAUCUUACACCACAAAUACCCCCUUGAGAUAUAUUCAUCUGUAUAGUACUGCCAAGAAGAACUGAUUGAAGUAGCAACUAACAGUAUUGUUGACACUGUGAUUUUAAUUUCCAAAGUGAAUACAAUAAUUUUUUUCAGCUGAGCCUCAGUGCCCUUGCUGGCAGCUGUCAUGUUGGAGAGGAUGAAUGUGUCCUAAACUGUCAGAAAUCUUCUGUUGCCAGAUCCUUUCUUGAUGGUAUUUAGAACAGUUUCAACACAUCUGCUGUUUUGUUCUGGAGGAUUGGGUUGGAAGCUCUGGAGUGAGACGCAAGGAACAGCGUCAUCUAUGCCUGCUGUCAGAGCUUUUCAAACACAAAAUGUAUCAACACGAAUGAUGCCAUAUGUUCUUCAUCGCUGCGAAUUGCGUGCCUUCUGACAACAAGAUAGAGGAGGAAGAUUUAUCAGGAGAAUGUUGCCAGAUGCUGUCCAGAGAACAGAGGCGGUCUGUAGCUCUGAGCUAAGGCUAAGUGCUUGUUCCAUACCAAGCCAGUAAACUUCUGGCAUUGUAACAAAUGUGUAUGAGUAUUUGAAGGUUUGAGAGGGAGACGAUGAAUAAUAACGUCUCCUAAUUGAAUAGGAAUAGAGUUAGCUUUUAAAGCCUCAGCAAGUUUGUUGGUUUUAUUUAUUUAUUUUUAUUUUUACUAUUAUUAUUAUUUGCAGAUGUUCAAAUUAAAGUACAUGCCAUUAUAAAAACAAAACAAAAGAAAAACCCUUGGAUGUUCCAAUUAUCUAUUAAAAUAGUAGUUUGGUAUAAUUUGUGGAGCCUGUGAGCUUUAGAAAGUUGUUUUGCCUGUUUGGUCCCCUUGAUGAUGAUGUUGGAAUAAACUACAAACUAACUUUGAAGAUGACAGCUAAGUGGUCUUCAGCUAGUGAUUGGUAGAUUGCUAAUUAGCUCAUAUGAAAGAUCAGGUUUGUUUCUGUGCUGACCACGUUGCUGUUCCUACCGAACACACAACACUUUCAAAAGAUGGGAAUACAUUUUCUACUCCCUAUUCCCAGAGUAAAAAUCAGAAGAGAUAAAUCACGUGAGAAACUAGCAACAAGAAUAAGAAAAGCAUUCUGAAUUUGGAGAAAGGUUGUUUGGAGAAACAUUGAGUGAAAGAAAUGAAGAAACCUGGGGAAAAUAUACCUGCUCUGUUGAAAAAAAAAAAAAAAAUAGAGGCAGAAUGAAAAAGCGAACCAUUUGCUUGGUUCAUCAGUGUGUUCUCAGUUGUGAACCAUUUGAGUGGAUACAUGCUUAAUUAUGAUCCUGCAGGAGUAUGUACAUCAGCUGCACAGUUGAUGGGAAAAAAAAGAAGAUUAAAAUGAAUACGUUCUGCGAGUACCAAGAUGGAACAGGGUAUGAGAAAUUCACGAUGACCAAAAUUCUGACCCCGAACCAUGAAAAGAAGACACAGCGGAAAUUACAUUUGCGUAUGUCCAUAGAUCAACUUCAAUUUUAGGUUCUCUGAGGAACUGAUGUUUGUUUUCUUCACGAGCAUUUUCAGGCAUCCUCUGUAGGAGACUGCCAAAAGGUUACUAAUGCAAAUGAGAAGAAGAAGCUCUUUCUUAAACUGUUAAAAGCCUCACUCCCAAUGCAGAAUUUUGUAUUAUGUACACGGUCAUAUAUUAAAAAUAAAAAUGAAG
ensembl:lncRNA